rnacentral:lncRNA from 10 species
GCGAGACUCUGUGGGGGUAGGACCCUCUGAGCCACGUGCCGGAUAUAAUCUCGUGGUGCGCCGUUUUUUUAAGCCGUUCGGAAAAGCACAGUAUUCGGGUGGGAGUGACCCGAUUUUCCAGGUGCGUCUGUCACCCCUUUCUUUCACUCAGAAAGGGAACUCCCUGACCCCUUGCGCUUCCCAAGUGAGGCAAUGCCUCGCCCUGCUUCGGCUCGCGCACGGUGCGCGCACCCACUGACCUUCGCCCACUGUCUGCCACUCCCAAGUGAGAUGAACCCGGUACCUCAGAUGGAAAUGCAGAAAUCACCUGUCUUCUGCGUCGCUCACGCUGGGAGCUGUAGACUGGAGCUGUUCCUAUUCGGCCAUCUUGGCUCCUCUCAGAUGAUAAAAUUCAGGCCAAGAGAAGCAAAGACAGCAAAGACUGACAUAAAAAAGAAACAACAAAAACAACUCUUGUUAAUGAUGUAGAAUUAAUCUGAAUUCUCCAAAAACCUGCCUCUUUUGGAGAGAUACGGGCUUUUACCAUGUCACCCAGGCUGGUGUUGAACCCCUAGACUCAAGCAAUCCACCCUCAUCAUUCUCCUGAAAUGCUGAGAUUACAGGCAUAAGCCACUGCACCCAGCCUACAAGUAAUUUUUACUUGAUAUUCUUGAAGAUUAGACUAGG